AAAAAGACAAACCCUGAGUUUCCAUGCCAACGUUUGACUGUCCGUCUUAUAUAAAACUUUUUUAUAAUUAAUAUUUUUAUUGUUGUUAGAUGGUAAAACAUGAUUAAUCCUUUAUGCGUGACUUAUCUUUUUAUUUUUUUUCAUAUUUUUUUAAAUAAGACGGACGGUCAAAUAUUGGACAUGAAAACCAGGGUUUGUCUUUUU
rfam:Oryza glumipatula chromosome 7, whole genome shotgun sequence.